rnacentral:lncRNA from 10 species
GUCGACUAUAUCCAUUUUUAUGUUGAUAUUUUUCCUGUAGUUCCCCUGGUUUUCUUCUUGAUUUGUAAAAAUUCCUUGUAUAUGCCAAAAUAUAAUUUCAUAAUAGUUUAUUUUAUUUAUGAAAUUAUAAAUAGGGUCCAUGGGAGUGGAGUGAACAGCGUACAUGUCACUAACUGUCUGAAGGUUGAGGAGAAACUCAGGACCUAGGUGGUGGUGGGGUGGCCACCACCAUUUAAUAGACUGGAAAAUAGGAUGGAAGUUGGGGGUGUGGUGGAACAGGGCCACAGGGAGUGGGUUUUCACCAGUCGAAAAGUGGGCAGAGCCCUUCGGAUGCGGCCGACUGGCUGUCAUGCAGCUGCGGUGCCUGGAGAACUCAAGAUCUCCUCCAUCGACAUGGCAGAGGAUGAGCAAGUGGGAAAAUCGCACAGGGCUUUUUAUUGCCUGAGUCUGGAGGUGGUGUUUCAUUGGCUGGAGUAAGUCACAUGGCUCUGCCAAGUGUGAGAGGUCUGUGUAGGACAAUGCUGCCUUGGAAAUCUUUGGACAAGUUUCUUCACCCAGAAGAGAGGUUGCAGGGUUGAAGAGCAUGUGCUUUAAACAUUUGGAUAGGUUCUGUCAAAUUGCUUUCUUUAAACACACGUUAUCAACCAACUUACACUCCCACCAAAAGAGCACAAGUUCACUCAUUCACCACCCUUCCCAGUAUUUGAAUGUUUGCCAACCUGAUGGGUGGAUCAUCGCGCUGCCUUGUUUCAGUGGGUAGAGCAUGGCUUUUGUGGAUUACUGGAGAUUUGCAUUUCUUGGUCUGUGAAUUCUGUGUUGUUAUUCUUUGCCCCUUUCCUGUUGUGUUGUUUGACUUUUUCUUAUUUGUUUUUGGAGGCCUCACAUCUUUACUCACUUUCU